UACAGAGGUGGCAAGCGUUGUUCGGAAUUACUGGGCGUAAAGGGCGCGUAGGCGGCCUUGUCAGUCAGACGUGAAAUCCCCAGGCUUAACCUGGGAACUGCGUCCGAUACUACAAGGCUUGAGUGCGGGAGAGGGAUGUGGAAUUCCAGGUGUAGCGGUGAAAUGCGUAGAUAUCUGGAGGAACACCGGUGGCGAAGGCGGCAUCCUGGACCGACACUGACGCUGAGGCGCGAAAGCUAGGGGAGCAAACGGG
rnacentral:rRNA from 1 species